CUACGGGUCGCAGCAGUGAGGAAUAUUGCGCAAUGGGGGGAACCCUGAUGCAGCAACGCCGCGUGGAGGAUGACACAUUUCGGUGUGUAAACUCCUUUUAUAUGUCAAGAAAAUGACGGUAGCAUAUGAAUAAGCACCGGCUAACUCCGUGCCAGCAGCCGCGGUAAUACGGAGGGUGCAAGCGUUACUCGGAAUCACUGGGCGUAAAGGACGCGUAGGCGGGUUGGAAAGUCAGGUGUGAAAUCCUACAGCUUAACUGUAGAACUGCACUUGAAACUUCUAAUCUAGAGUAUGGGAGGGGGAGAUGGAAUUAGUGGUGUAGGGGUAAAAUCCGUAGAUAUCACUAGGAAUACCUAAAGCGAAGGCGAUCUCCUGGAACAUUACUGACGCUAAGGCGUGAAAGCGUGGGGAGCAAACAGGAUUAGAUACCCUUGUAGUC
rnacentral:rRNA from 1 species